rnacentral:rRNA from 1 species
GGCCAUGGCUAUACCUGCUUGUCAAUGCCAGAACUCGUCAGAUCUUGGAAGCUAAACAAAACUGAGCCUGGUUAGUACAUGGGAGACCACUGGGAAAUACCAGCUGCCACAGUGG